UACGGGGGGAGCAAGCGUUGUUCGGAUUUACUGGGCGUAAAGGGCGCGUAGGCGGUCGUGACAAGUCACUUGUGAAAUCUCCGGGCUUAACUCGGAACGGUCAAGUGAUACUGUCGUGCUAGAGUACAGAAGGGGCAACUGGAAUUCUCGGUGUAGCGGUGAAAUGCGUAGAUAUCGAGAGGAACACCUGCGGCGAAAGCGGGUUGCUGGGCUGAUACUGACGCUGAGGCGCGAAAGCUAGGGGAGCGAACGGG
rnacentral:rRNA from 1 species